rnacentral:misc_RNA from 1 species
CUGAAAAAUCGGCACAAAACGUUGAGGAAUUUAUUCAAGGCUGUAAAGAAGCUCCUUGAUCAGAGGGGGUUCAGCUGGGAUGAAAAUCGGCAAAUGGUGACAGCUGAUAAUAGUGUUUGGGAUGAACAUAUCAAGAUACAUCCUGAUGCACGUGCAUAUAGGAUAAAAACUAUCCCAUAUUAUAAAGAUUUGUGCUUGAUAUAUGGAGACACUAACAUUGAAGAAAAAGGUGACAAUGUGCCAGAGUCACUGCCAGAUUCAGCUGGUAAUGAAAUCAUCAACACCGAUCAAGUAAAGAGUGUUUCUGAGGGAGCUCCAGGG